rnacentral:rRNA from 1 species
UACGGAGGGUGCAAGCGUUAUCCGGAAUCACUGGGUUUAAAGGGUGCGCAGGCGGCCCAAUAAGUCAGCCGUGAAAUCGCUGGGCUCAACCCAUGCAAUUGCGGUUGAUACUGUCGGGCUUGAAUGGGGUUGAGGCUGGCGGAAUGCGGCAUGUAGCGGUGAAAUGCUUAGAUAUGCCGCAGAACACCGAUUGCGAAGGCAGCCAGCUGGGCCUUUAUUGACGCUGAGGCACGAAAGCGUGGGGAGCAAA